AUUGAACGCUGGCGGCAUGCCUUACACAUGCAAGUCGAACGGUAACAGGUCUUCGGAUGCUGACGAGUGGCGAACGGGUGAGUAAUACAUCGGAACGUGCCUAGUAGUGGGGGAUAACUACUCGAAAGAGUGGCUAAUACCGCAUGAGAUCUACGGAUGACAGCAGGGGAUCGCAAGACCUUGUGCUACUAGAGCGGCCGAUGGCAGAUUAGGUAGUUGGUGGGAUAAAAGCUUACCAAGCCGACGAUCUGUAGCUGGUCUGAGAGGACGAUCAGCCACACUGGGACUGUGACACGGCCCAGACUCCUACGGGAGGCAGCAGUGGGGAAUUUUGGACAAUGGGCGAAAGCCUGAUCCAGCAAUGCCGCGUGCAGGAUGAAGGCCUUCGGGUUGUAAACUGCUUUUGUACGGAACGAAAAGCCCCGGGUUAAUACCCUGGGGUCAUGACGGUACCGUAAGAAUAAGCACCGGCUAACUACGUGCCAGCAGCCGCAGUAA
rnacentral:rRNA from 1 species